rnacentral:rRNA from 1 species
CCUACGGGUGGCAGCAGUGGGGAAUAUUGGACAAUGGGCGAAAGCCUGAUCCAGCCAUGCCGCGUGUGUGAAGAAGGCCUUCGGGUUGUAAAGCACUUUCAGUGGGGAAGAAAGCCUUGGGGCUAAUACCCUCGAGGAAGGACAUCACCUACAGAAGAAGCACCGGCUAACUCCGUGCCAGCAGCCGCGGUAAUACGGAGGGUGCGAGCGUUAAUCGGAAUUACUGGGCGUAAAGCGCGCGUAGGCGGUCUGAUAAGCCGGUUGUGAAAGCCCCGGGCUCAACCUGGGAACGGCAUCCGGAACUGUCAGGCUAGAGUGCAGGAGAGGAAGGUAGAAUUCCCGGUGUAGCGGUGAAAUGCGUAGAGAUCGGGAGGAAUACCAGUGGCGAAGGCGGCCUUCUGGACUGACACUGACGCUGAGGUGCGAAAGCGUGGGUAGCAAACAGGAUUAGAUACCCGAGUAGUC